rnacentral:other from 1 species
CUUUCAACUUACCCCUAGCCGGAAUGGUUGUUGAAAC